AAAAAUUAAUAAUAAGAUAAAGACAUUACAAUUAUUUAAAAGAAAAUGAGAAACUGGCCAAUAUAAGAAAAAUCCAUUUAAAAAAUUAAAGAGAGCUAUUAAAUAUAAGAAUGUUACCUCUUCCUCAUUAUUAUCAACUUCUUCAUCUUGAACGGUAAGUCUUCUAGCUUCGUUCUCAUUAGGGCUUGAAGCUAACAGUAUAUAAAUAAAAAAAAUUAUUAGAAAACAAAAAUAAAAUGUUUUACUUAAUAUGAAAAAUAUAAGCACAAAAAUAUUU
rnacentral:lncRNA from 1 species